UGUCCUUUCUAAUAUACAAUAAACAUGCCAUUUCUAGUAUACAAUAAUUUAUACAGUAAGUUUAAUAUAACCAAUUUUCCAAUUUUAACAAUCAUGAUCUAUCCUCAUGUAUAUGAAAACCUAAGAUAAAUCUUUUUUUUUAAAUUAAGGAAAUUUUUAGAAAAUCAUUACUUUAACCAACUUCAAUCUCUACCACUGCAUUUGGAACAAAUAAUAUUUAGUCAGAUGGAAUGCCUCUCAAAUAUUUAAAAGAACGGAGUCUCGCUCUGUCACCCAGGCUGGAAUACAGUGACGCGAUCUCUGCCCACUGCAAGCUCUGCCUAAGAAGGUUAAGUAAAGAGAAUAUCUGGCCACUUUCCUCAGUGUAUCUCAGUAAAUACUAUGUUAUUUAGCUCUUCUAUCAGCAGAUAUGUAAGCUGUUUAUUGCAUCAGUAAUUUUCAAAGAAAAUGAAUGUAAAGUAAACAGAGCAACAGAAGUGAGAGCAAAGAUUCUUUCCAGCUUUCCACAUCUUUGAAUUGAAACGAUAAGCCUCUGUCAAGUUUUAACUAGUCCUCCUUUACAUGUUCCUUUAUUUAUAGAAAUAUUUCAAGUAACAGCUUUUGUUCUCUCCAGUUAAAAACUUUGUGUGAUUUUCAUGCUGCUAAAAAGACACAUGCACAUGUAUGUUUAUUGUGGCACUAUUCACAAUAGCAAA
rnacentral:lncRNA from 1 species